rnacentral:rRNA from 1 species
AUUGAACGCUGGCGGCAGGCCUAACACAUGCAAGUCGAGCGGGGUUUUCGGACCUAGCGGCGGACGGGUGAGUAAUGCGUAGGAAGCUACCCGAUAGAGGGGGAUACCAGUUGGAAACGACUGUUAAUACCGCAUAAUGUCUACGGACCAAAGUGUGGGACCUUCGGGCCACAUGCUAUGGGAUGCGCCUACGUGGGAUUAGCUAGUUGGUGAGGUAAUGGCUCACCAAGGCGACGAUCCCUAGCUGGUUUGAGAGGAUGAUCAGCCACACUGGAACUGAGACACGGUCCAGACUCCUACGGGAGGCAGCAGGGGGGAAUAUUGGACAAUGGGCGCAAGCCUGAUCCAGCCAUGCCGCGUGUGAAGAAGGCCUUCGGGUUGUAAAGCACUUUCAGUAGGGAGGAAGCGUUGUGUGUUAAUAGUACACAGCGUUGACGUUACCUACAGAAGAAGCACCGGCUAACUCUGUGCCAGCAGCCGCGGUAAGAC